UACAGAGGGGGCGAGCGUUGUUCGGAUUCACUGGGCGUAAAGGGUGCGUAGGCGGUCGGGUAAGUCUGACGUGAAAUCUUCAAGCUCAACUUGGAAACUGCGUCCGAUACUAUUCGGCUAGAGGAAUGGAGGGGAGACUGGAAUACUUGGUGUAGCAGUGAAAUGCGUAGAUAUCAAGAGGAACACCAGUGGCGAAGGCGGCGUUCUGGACUGCAACUGACACUGAAGAACGAAAGCCAGGGGAGCAAACGGG
rnacentral:rRNA from 1 species